GACAGCGGCUACUCCUGUCAACCAUGGCUGAUGACGCCAUUCCUGUCGCCGUCAUCAGCAGCCGAGGUCGCAUACAAUACGGCACACACGACGACAAGAAGCAUUGUUGAACGGACAAUCGGCCAACUCAAGCGGAGGUUCCAUUGCCUUCACGCUGAGCUCCGAAUGGCUCCAGAACGGUGCUGCGACAUCAUUGUCGCGUGCUGUGCCCUCCACAACCUGGCCAAGAGGUACCCCUGCAGGGCACCCGUGGCCGCCAUCCCCGCUGAGGUUCCCGUUGAGCCCGUAGCAGCCAACCGUGCUGAGAGCAACGAGGCCCGAGACUUUAUUGUCAACCAUUUCUUCGGCUAAGUAUCCUGCUGUCGCUCGGCCCUUCUCUGGUACUGCUGUGCAGCCUCACGGGUCCAGCGCUGGUUGUGCUGCACAACAGG
rnacentral:lncRNA from 1 species